rnacentral:rRNA from 1 species
UUAGAUACCCUAGUAUAGAAAUAUAUUAUAGUAAUUAAUAGCUUUUUGGAAAUUAAAAAUUUUGGCGGUUAAUUAUAAAAUUAGAGGAGCUUGUUUGUGUUAAGAAUUUACUCUUUAUAUUUUAUUAAAUGAUAGGUUUAUUCAUCUCCGUUAUUAGGUAAUAAAUUGUUAAUAAAUAAUUUUAUUAUUUCAGGUCAAGAUGUAGCAUUUUUUAAAAAGAAUUAGCUACAUUUUAUGAUAAUUGGAUUUAGAAGGUAAAAUAAUAUAUAAAUUGAAUUUAAUUGUAAUAUUAAUUAGAAUAUUAGUAUGAAUAAUUAUAAUUAAUGUAUAUAUUGCCCGUCACUUCUAUUAAGUAAUUAGAAUAAGUCGUAACAAAGUA